rnacentral:rRNA from 1 species
UACAGAGGUGGCAAGCGUUGUUCGGAAUUACUGGGCGUAAAGGGCGCGUAGGCGGUCUUCUAAGUCAGACGUGAAAUCCCCCGGCUUAACCUGGGAACUGCGUCUGAUACUGGAGGGCUUGAGUGCGGGAGAGGGAUGUGGAAUUCCAGGUGUAGCGGUGAAAUGCGUAGAUAUCUGGAGGAACACCGGUGGCGAAGGCGGCAUCCUGGACCGGUAUUGACGCUGAGGCGCGAAAGCCAGGGGAGCAAAGCGGGG